GACAGUUGGGUUGUGAUCCACAUGCCCUGACUCCAUAUGUCUGAAUGGAGCAUGACAGUGCAACCACACCACACGACGUCAACACAGCCCCGCACACGUCGCGUGUCUGCUCGCGGUGUCAUGCCGAUCAUUCGGUACAAGUGAAUACUCUAAUUAACAAAGUCCACUCAAGACGCUUGGGGGUCCAGAGGGCUCGGUCACUGCAGGUUGCCAAGGAGAGGCUCAGCUAACUGGGCUAGCUAACCCGGGCCGACGGCACCGUGCAGCAUCCGUCCCAACGCGGAGGGUUACGUAGCCGCCGUGUCACUUGACGUCCCGGCUGCUCACACUAACAUCGGAUGAAGACGACUGGCACCACGUCUGUAACAUUAGCGAGAACCAGACUCAGGACUUUUUCACUGGGGCCAGCACACAAGCGGAAAACUUGGCUGGGUUGUCCACCAUGGUGAACUUGUUGAGCAACGCCCCGAUGACUUCCCGUACCCGUGUUUGGGAGCUUAUGUGCAGGUGCUUUGCAGUAUCUUUGGGGAGGUAGAAAGAUGUCCGCCGUUCCAGCCGUCUGUCCUGCUGAUGUCCCUCUUGUGUCGAGCACAGGCUCUGAGGAGGAGGAAGGGAGAUCGGUCGAACUAACUGAAAGUGGACCUUGAUGAAACCAGUGUAGAACCCGU